UACGAGGGGGGCAAGCGUUGUUCGGAUUUAUUGGGCGUAAAGGGUGCGUAGGCGGUUUGAUAAGUCUGAUGUGAAAGCCCACGGCUCAACCGUGGAGGGUCAUUGGAAACUGGGGGACUUGAGUACAGAAGAGAAGAGUGGAAUUCCACGUGUAGCGGUGAAAUGCGUAGAGAUGUGGAGGAACACCAGUGGCGAAGGCGACUCUUUGGUCUGUAACUGACGCUGAGGCGCGAAAGCGUGGGGAGCAAACAG
rnacentral:rRNA from 1 species